AGCAGAGCGGGGUCGUGGCCAACCUCUGCUAACGAGCUCAUCCCACCGCAAAAAGCAAGAACAGGGAGGCAUUUGCUUCUCAUUCCAGACAGUAAGAGUCACAUUUCUGAAUGAUUUACUCCUGGGGAUGAGGGCUCGAUGCAAAUGAGCACAAAGGAAGUUGUCAGCAGCAUCGUGCUCUGGCCAAUGGAAGGAAAGCUCCAUCUUAGCUGUGCCAUAGGCUGCACUAAAAAAAGGGACCAGAACGGCGCUCUCUCAGCAUCCUUUCACACAAGAGCUCCCAAAUCUGUGCCAGUGAGCAUACCCAAGCCAAGCAGGUCCUCAAGGAUGGCAACCCUCAACAGCACCCACUGGAAUGAAACUACUACAUCCAUCUCCCAGUAUCUGGGCUUCCAAGUGCAAAAAAUUUACCCUUUCCAUGACAACUGGAACACUGCCUGCUUUGUCAUCCUGAUCAUAUUCAUCUUCACUGUAGUUUCUCUGGUGGUGCUGGCUUUCCUGUAUGAACUGCUGGACUGCUGCUGCUGUGUGAAAAACAAAACUGUGAAGGACUUGGAGAACGAGCCCAAUCCUGUCAGAGCAAUGCUGAACAGCUUCAGGAAGCGAGACACAGAGGUGGUGUAGGAAGAACUGAGCAACUGCACUUGGAGAACUUGGUUUGACAUUUGACACCUGGAAUGAAGCCUCCUUAGCUUACAAACGAGCAAGUUGUGUGCUUUUUUCUUUUGGAUUUAAAUAUCCACAGUGGCAAUUUUAUCUCUGGAUGUGAGCUGGAAUAAUUGGCAAAGGUUUUCCAAGUGCUCAGCAGAAAGACAAUCUACUGCAGUGUUAUGGGAGGGAAAAAGAUUGUUGUUUUUAGAUGAACUGUUGCUGUUUAUAUUGAGUGACUAGCAUAGAAUUUUGUCUACCUGACGGAACAAAUGCUGCCUAACAUGCAUAAAACUGUUGCUUCACUGAAGAAAACAUUUAUAAAAUGUCCAACAGUCUGAUCACAUUCCGUGCAAAGACAGCAGUGUUGUCCCACCGAGUCAACCACACAGGGACAGGACAGACAGACAAGGGGCUGAGCAUGACUAAGCUCCAGAAGAUCUGAACACAGUGAAAGACUUGCUAAUUGACACUCUCCAUUGGGGAGAUGGAAUCACAAAACACCCAGGGCAGGAUGAACUAGCACAGCUAGUCCAGUGAUUCACCUGGAGAAACAAACUCCCUCCUGCAGCCACAAAUCCCCAUAGACACACUUCUUCAAGCCCAAAAUCAAAAGCACAACUGAUGGAAGCCACUGCCCUGAGCACAAGAUCAUUUAGGACUCACACUGAGAUGGAUGACGGAGAUAAUGCCAGUGGUGAUAAGGAUGACAUGCCACCUUCUGCUGUGUGACAGCGUCAGACUGGGAAGCCCUGCUCAAGAGGCCAGAGUAGCCAUCAGGAUGCACUGAAUUAAAUCCUGGCUCUCUCCUAAAAGGAAAGGCUCUGGACACUUGCAGCAUUCCCACAGUGCCCAUCAAGCUGCACACAAGAGGGCAGUGUGUGCAGCACGCCAGCCUCUGCUGCUCUGGCAAUGCCUUCCUGAGAAGCACAUGGAGUGACAUAUGUUGGGACUCAUCCCAGCUUUUUAUUUCACAGGUCUGCAAAGGGGAAUGGGGGUGGGCACAAGGAGCAGAAGGCAAAGGUGGCCCCUUGCACAGUACCAGAGAAGACUCAGGAUGAUUCUUUUCCACAAAACAGCCCCUGAAGAUUCUGGCUCUUGACAACUGUCAGCAGAGACCACUGAGACAAAGGUCUUAAGACAAAGACCACAGCCACAAUUUACUAUUGAUUAAUAAAAUGAAACAAACAGA